CCAGGCCUAGAGAAAGCACACCUGCUCCUCAAGGGUCACUGUGGGGGAUGCGCAGCCAGCUAGAGAGAGUGCCAGGCUGCCUCUGACAGCUGACUUCAGAGCGCCAGGUGGUGAAACUUGGCACUCAUCUUUUCCUCCUGAGAAGCACACAGAAUUUAGUAGGAUACCGGGCACAUAGUAAGAGCUCGGGCAAUUUCCGGAUGUUCAUCUGAGGCAGUCACAAGAGGCCGCAUCCCCAUAGACAGUAGGUGGCAAAGAGCAUGCGGGCAAAGCAUCAUCAGGAAAAUGGGGAUGUUGGCGAGAGGGGCCAACAAGAAAGGUCUCCUAUCCCAAAACCCUGAGCACCUGACGGAAGGCCUGGAGGCCUGAGGCCAGCGCUCCAUCUGUCCAUCCCUCCUCCAGGGACUUCUUCCAUAAGCCUCUGAGGGACACCCAGAGGUGGCCCCUGAGAAAAUCCUCCAAAGAAGAAGACAAGAGCUUCCAGCCCUGAUGGGGACCACAAGCAUCUUCACUCUCCAGCAGCCACUCGGUCCUGCUGGGACUGUGCCCAUCACAGUGCAGGGAAGCCAUUCUUGAAUGAGAUUUUUUUUUUUUUUCCCCUCCCUCUCCAGGGCUGGAGUCUGAUUCCAUUUGAGACUAAUCAGAAGACGACCAGAUGGCACUCCCGCAAAUCCCCAACCCAGGCCAUUUAUUAUAAUCAGCAGCUUGGGCGGCACUGACUGUGCCGUGGGCCUGCUUCUACUCAGCCUAGCACCCCUCAGGGGCGCUCUGCAGACCUGGGUGCAGGGAAACCGAACCCAAGUACCGAGGGAAGGCGCAGCCCCACCUCCUCCUCACUACCUUACGCCCACUGUGCAGUGAGGACCAGGGAGAGGACCCGCGGAGCCAUCCCCAGGGACCAGAUGACAAAGGAGCCUUGUCCCCGGAGUAGCAGGUACAUCCAGGUGGACGUGACCGUCAGACAGUCUGUGAAAGCCACAGACUCUGGGGCUGUUUGCAGGGAAUGGCAUCGCUGGCCUUGACAACCAUCCCUCAAGAGCCUCGUUGAGUUACACAGGACAGGUGUCACCGUGCACAGAAGCUGAUCAGAAUAUUGAGGAAAACAGAAGUCCUACAAGCUUCCUCUGUCAGGAGCUGGACUAGCACUUGGGCCAUGGAAUCCCUGCCACCGUGUACUCUUGCAAGACUGUAUCUCUCGAUCAUUAGCAAACCUUAGAGUCAUUUGCUAGAGACAGAGUUCUAGCGUCACAGGCAGCCUCAAACAAACCCAACCAAAACAAAAUAAAAGGUCAGAGGUGUAUCA